rnacentral:rRNA from 1 species
GACGAACGCUGGCGGCGUGCUUAACACAUGCAAGUCGAACGGUGAAGGGGUCUGCUUUUGUGGGCCCUGGAUGAGUGGCGAACGGGUGAGUAACACGUGAGUAACCUGCCCCCUUCUUCUGGAUAACCGCAUGAAAGUGUGGCUAAUACGGGAUAUUCUGGGUCUGUCGCAUGAUGGGUCUGGGCAAGAUUGCGCCUUUGGGUGUUUUUGGUGGGGGAUGGGCUCGCGGCCUAUCAGCUUGUUGGUGGGGUGAUGGCCUACCAAGGCGGUGACGGGUAGCCGGCCUGAGAGGGUGGACGGUCACACUGGGACUGAGACACGGCCCAGACUCCUACGGGAGGCAGCAGUGGGGAAUAUUGCACAAUGGGCGCAAGCCUGAUGCAGCGACGCCGCGUGAGGGAUGGAGGCCUUCGGGUUGUAAACCUCUUUCGCCAGUGAAGCAGGCCUGCUCCUUGUGGGUGGGUUGACGGUAGCUGGAUAAGAAGCGCCGGCUAACUACGUG